GGAUCCUUAGCUCAGUUGGUUAGUAGCACCUGACUCAUAAUCAGGGGGUCGUAGGUUCAAGCCCUACAGGAUCCACCA
rnacentral:tRNA from 1 species